UACGGAGGAUGCAAGCGUUAUCCGGAAUGAUUGGCGUAAAGCGUCCGCAGGUGGCUGUGUAAGUCUGCUGUCAAAGAGCGAAGCUCAACUUCGUAAAGGCAGUGGAAACUACACGGCUAGAGUGCGUUCGGGGCAGAGGGAAUUCCUGGUGUAGCGGUGAAAUGCGUAGAGAUCAGGAAGAACACCGGUGGCGAAGGCGCUCUGCUAGGCCGCAACUGACACUGAGGGACGAAAGCUAGGGGAGCGAAUGGG
rnacentral:rRNA from 1 species